rnacentral:rRNA from 1 species
AUGAAUAGUUCUCCAUCGUUCGUGCCACCGCCUGUGAUUCCAGCGCCCCCCCGAGGGCAUUUUAGUCAUUCGACUAUUGGGUAUAAAAAGGGGGCGCUGCCGUGGGAUGACCUAGCCGCCGCCUCCCUCCCGCACUCGCGCCUCCCCCGCCCUCCCAGCUCACCGCCGCCUCUCCUCCCCUCCCGCGCGCCUCCUCUCCCCUCCCCUCCCCUCCCGCCUCCUCUCCUCCCACCCACAUCGCCGCCGCCGCCACCCACCGCCUCGAACCGCGCCGGACAGUGGAGGGAGGACGAGGAGCACGACGGCGGCGGCGGCGGGGAGCGGCAGCAGCAGGCCAAGGCGGCGCUGCCCUUCUCCGCCAUGUGCAUGCGGAUCUCCCGCGACUCCUACCCCAACCUCCACGCCCUCCACAACGCCUCCAACGACAGCCUCACCAACGCCGCCUACGUCAAGAUCUCCGAGGGCGACUUCGGAUACGUCCUCGACGACGUGCCCCACCUUGCUGACUACCUCCCCGUGAGCAGCCACCCCUCCCCUUCCCUGCUCCUCCUCGCUCGACCGCUCGUCGGCUCGUGGCGAUGGGUUCUGUGCGGUGCAGCUUUAGCUAGCGACUGUCAGUGGGGCGGGCAAGGACGGCCUGCCGUCAAGUUGGACAGCAGAAUCAUAGAACUCUACAAAGUGGUUGGUCAGCUCUUGAGCAAAUUCGCCAUAGUGACCGCCGAUGGCCUACAAGUCCAUCUCUUUCUCAAGCUCGAUUGCCUCUUAUUUUGCAGACUGAAAGUCAAAACAGACAAACAAUCUAAUGACCAAAAUAUACAAACAAUCUAUGCAAUACAGAUUGCCGCGCGCCACCCGCCCUUCGCAUGUGUAAUCACUCAAAAUCCCCCCUUGUUUGACAGCCUGCGCAUCACUCGCUCUCAGCUAGCUAGGUGGGGUCUUCUGUGUGAGCAGACUACCUAUAAGAAUCGUCAGCGCCUUUACCUAUCAGAGCAGGUACUAAUCUUGAUGCCAGGGCUGGUUGCCUUGUGUACCAUGGUGAGAAGUAGCACCAUGCCAUAUUGGCUCCCUCUGCCGAGCACCAUGGAGGAGCUCAAGCCAUUUUUGUCGUUGUAUGACAAGGCUGUCGAUGUCAUCACUGAGCCUCCUUCUUUUCUUCAGAGGCUUAUUGUGCUGCUAUAG